UACGGGGGGGGCAAGCGUUGUUCGGAAUUACUGGGCGUAAAGGGUUCGUAGGCGGCUUGCUAAGUCAGACGUGAAAUCCCUCAGCUUAACUGGGGAACUGCGUCUGAGACUGGUGAGCUUGAGUGCAGGAGAGGAACGCGGAAUUCCAGGUGUAGCGGUGAAAUGCGUAGAUAUCUGGAGGAACACCGGUGGCGAAGGCGGCGUUCUGGACUGAUACUGACACUGAGGAACGAAAGCCAGGGGAGCAAACAGG
rnacentral:rRNA from 1 species